UACGGGGGGGGGCAAGCGUUGUUCGGAAUUACUGGGCGUAAAGGCGCGUAGGCGGCCUUCUAAGUCAGACGUGAAAUCCCUCGGCUCAACCGAGGAACUGCGUCUGAUACUGGAAGGCUUGAAUCCGGGGAGAGGGAUGUGGAAUUCCAGGUGUAGCGGUGAAAUGCGUAGAUAUCUGGAGGAACACCGGUGGCGAAGGCGGCAUCCUGGACCGGUAUUGACGCUGAGGCGCGAAAAGCUAGGGGAGCAAACGGG
rnacentral:rRNA from 1 species